rnacentral:rRNA from 1 species
UACGAAGGGGGCUAGCGUUGUUCGGAAUUACUGGGCGUAAAGCGUGCGCAGGCGGUUCGUUGUGUCGGCGGUGAAAGCCCCGGGCUUAACCUGGGAACGGCCGCUGAAACUGGCGAACUGGAGUGUGGCAGAGGGGGGUGGAAUUCCGCGUGUAGCAGUGAAAUGCGUAGAGAUGCGGAGGAACACCGAUGGCGAAGGCAGCCCCCUGGGCUAACACUGACGCUCAGGCACGAAAGCGUGGGGAGCAAACAGG